rnacentral:lncRNA from 1 species
UCACAGAAGAAGGGUGUGGUUAGCACUACCUGGGAAAACUUCACAAAGGAGGUGGUGUUUGAGUGAAGUCUUGAGGUCCCCAGGGCUGCUUACCGGGCAGUGUGGAUGGCAUGCAGUGGGAUGGUGAAGGAUGGGGCCAGAGGAAGGAAGGACAUGCCCGCCCAGCCGUGUUUGGGAUGCUGCCUCCCUGGAGAGGGGUCAUGAAGCCUAGCAGGCAGUGGAGCCCAGAAAAUCACCUUGGUUGGCAUAUUCAGCCAGCAAGAAAGAGAGGAUCAUCAGGCGCAGUGGCUCACACCUGUAAUCCCAGCACUUUGGGCGGCCGAGGAGGGCAGAUCAUGAGGUCAAGAGAUCGAGACCAUCCUGGCCAACAUGGUGAAACCCCGUCUCUACUAAAAAUACAAAAAUUAGCUAGGCGUGAUAGCCUGUGCCUGUAG